GUUCACAGAUCAAGAUCUGGUCAGAUCUGACUUUGUCAAAUUAAAUAUGGAGCUUGGGAACGAAUUUUUGAAUGAAACAAAUUGGGGGAUAUUUGGUUUAUGCCAUGCUGAUAACCGAGAGAGGCAAUUACUAAGCAUGGUACUCUCAUACCUUUAUUAGAUGCGAACAAUUACGGAGAAGAAGAAGAAGUGGAUUGGACAAGGUUUUUAUUUAUAUUGUUGGAAUUCUUUUGAUGGAGUUGAAGAAGUCCAGGGACAAAUAAGCAAACCAAGGCAAGCCUUCUUUUGAUCUCUGAUAUGAUGUCUCUUUGCAUGUCAUCUUGUGCUAUCAAUAGCAUCCUGGUUCUAUGUGUGAUGAUCUCCAUAUUGUUGUCAUCUAUGCUUGGAUGCAAGCAUGGUACCUCUAGUAGUUUUAUCUUGUCAAGGUCUUGGUAAUUGGUUGGGUGUAUGGUAUCAUGGCCAUUGCUAUCCAACUUGUUUUCUAUAUUUAGCUUGAACAUGUUCCACCUCGGGACAAGAUUCAUACUACACCACCUUCUAGUGUAGAGGUAUCAAUACCAUGAUCUUGGUGUAUUCUCAAAUUGUGAUGAGU